GCGGACGUGGCGGAAUUGGUAGACGCGCUAGCUUGAGGGGCUAGUGGCCGCUUUAGGCCGUGGAAGUUCAAGUCUUCUCGUCCGCACCA
rnacentral:tRNA from 1 species